GUCAUAUGCUUGUCUCAAAGAUUAAGCCAUGCAUGUCUCAGUACAAGCCAAAUUAAGGUGAAACCGCGAAAGGCUCAUUAAAUCAGUUAUGGUUCCUUAGAUCGUACCCACAAUUACUUGGAUAACUGUGGUAAUUCUAGAGCUAAUACAUGCAAACAGAGCUCCGACCGGAGACGGAAGGAGUGCUUUUAUUAGAUCAAAACCAAUCGGUGGCGGGUUCGCGCUCGUUAUCGUACAACUUGGUGACUCUGAAUAACUUUACGCUGAUCGCACGGUCAUCGCACCGGCGACGCAUCUUUCAAAUGUCUGCCUUAUCAACUGUCGAUGGUAGGUUCUGCGCCUACCAUGGUUGUAACGGGUAACGGGGAAUCAGGGUUCGAUUCCGGAGAGGGAGCCUGAGAAACGGCUACCACAUCCAAGGAAGGCAGCAGGCGCGCAAAUUACCCACUCCCGGCACGGGGAGGUAGUGACRAAAAAUAACGAUACGGGACUCAUCCGAGGCCCCGUAAUCRGAAUGARUACACUCUAA
rnacentral:rRNA from 1 species